UACGGAGGGUGCGAGCGUUGUCCGGAAUUACUGGGCGUAAAGCGUGCGCAGGCGGUCUUUUAAGUCAGAUGUGAAAUCCCCGGGCUUAACCUGGGAACUGCGUUUGAAACUGGAAGGCUAGAGUGUGGCAGAGGGGGGUGGAAUUCCACGUGUAGCAGUGAAAUGCGUAGAUAUGUGGAGGAACACCGAUGGCGAAGGCAGCCCCCUGGGCUAACACUGACGCUCAUGCACGAAAGCGUGGGGAGCAAACAGG
rnacentral:rRNA from 1 species